ensembl:snoRNA SNORA70 Small nucleolar RNA SNORA70
CAGCAGCCAGUUAAGCUGACUGGGUUCCUUCCCUCAUGGGGGUCCGGUGUGCAAUGGCUGCAAACAGCCGCCUCCUUGGUAAUGUAGUAAACUGUUGCUUGUCCAGGUUGCAAAGAGGACCUUGGGGACAGUU